UUACUUGAUAAUGACUGUAUACACUUGCACAAACUCGAGCAUUACACAUGUGUAAGUAUGAACAAAUUCAGACAGUGAAACUACGAAUGGAUCAUUAAAUUAGUUAAAGUUUGUUUGAGGGUAUUUGCUACUCAGAUAACCGUAGUAAUUCUAAAACUUAUACAUACAAACAACCUUAACUUAUGGAAAGGGAUGCAUUUAUUAGAUAAAACAUCAACACGGACUUUGCUCGUUGCUCUGAUGAUUCAUGAUAACUUGACGGAUCGCACAACCUUUGUGCCGGCAAUGCAUCAUUAAAAUUUCUGCCCUAUCAACUUUUGAUGGUAGGAUACUGGCACUAUGGUGGUGACAGUGACAAAGAAUUAGGGUUCAAUUCUGGAGAGGGAUCCUGAGAAACGACUACCAUAUCCAAGGUAAGCAGCAAGCGCACAAAUUUCCCAAUCCUGACACGGAGAGGUAGUGACAAUUAAUAACAAUACCAUGCUCUAUGAGGUUGGUAAUUAGAAUGAGUACAAUCUAAAUCCCUUAAAGAGGAUCCAUUGGAGGGAAAGUCUUGUGCCAAUAGCUGUGGUAAUUCUAGGUCCAAUAACGUAUAUUUAAGAUGUUGCAGUUAAAAAUCUCAUAGUUAGAGUUAGAGGUGGGUCGGUCGAUCCGCCUUACGGUGAGAACUGGUCUACUCAUCCCUAUUGCCGACGAUGCGCUCCUAGCCUUAAUUGGUCAAGUUGUUCCUCCGACGUUAUUACUUUGAAAAAAAUAGAAUGCUCAAAGAAGGAUUACACUUGUAUACAUUAGCAUGGGAUACCAUCAUAGGAUUUUGAUCCUAAUUUGUUCGCCUUCAAGAUUGGAGUAAUGAUUAACAGGGAUAGUCGGGGACGUUCAUAUUUCAUAGUCAAUGGUAAAAUUCUUGGAUUUAUAAAAUACGAACAACUACGAAAGUACUUAAAAAUGAUGUUUUCAUUAAUCAAGAAUAAAAGUUGGGGACUCGAAGACGAUCAGAUACCAUCCUAGUCUCAACUAUAAAUGAUGCCAACUAGGGAUCGAUAGAUUUUUCUUUUAGGACUCCUUUAGCACCUUAUGAGAAAUCAAAGUCUUUUGGUUAUG
rnacentral:ncRNA from 1 species